GUGAUUGGAUCCAAAUACGUGUGAAAUGAUGUAGAAUUCAUGCAAAAUGAAUUUGAUCCGAGUGUGAGAAAAAUGUGACUUGAAACUCAUCAAAACUCAGCCAAAUGAUGCAUUUUAAGGGUCAAUUAACUUCUGGAUACUUGUUUAAACAUGUUUAGGUCCAAAACACAUGCUAAUUUGGCUUGGAAUUGAGAUUAGUGAAGUUCA
rnacentral:lncRNA from 1 species